rnacentral:misc_RNA from 1 species
GAUGAAGAACGCAGCGAAAUGCGAUAAGUAGUGUGAAUUGCAGAAUUCAGUGAAUCAUCGAAUCUUUGAACGCACCUUGCACCCUUUGGUAUUCCGAAGGGUAUGCUCGUUUGAGUGUCAUUGUACUCUCACACUUCUAAUUCCUUUCGGGAUUGGGAGCGGUGGACUUGGGUGUUGCUGCUUUAGUUGUGGCUCACCUCAAAUAAGUUAGUGCAACUCUUGGUUGGACAUAGUACGGCGUGAUAAGUGUCUUCGCCGGCGCCUCUGUAAGGAGGGUGGCCGAUCGGGAGCUCUGUGCUUCAAACCGUCUUCGGACAAUCUUUGACAACUUGACCUCAAAUCGAGUAGGACUACCCGCUGAACUUAAGCAUAUCAAUAAGCGGAGGA